CGGCGGACGGGUGAGUAAUGCCUAGGAAUCUGCCUGGUAGUGGGGGACAACGUUUCGAAAGGAACGCUAAUACCGCAUACGUCCUACGGGAGAAAGCAGGGGACCUUCGGGCCUUGCGCUAUCAGAUGAGCCUAGGUCGGAUUAGCUAGUUGGUGAGGUAAUGGCUCACCAAGGCGACGAUCCGUAGCCGACCUGAGAGGGUGAUCGGCCACACUGGAACUGAGACACGGUCCAGACUCCUACGGGAGGCAGCAGCG
rnacentral:rRNA from 1 species